rnacentral:lncRNA from 1 species
GCUGCUCUGUUUCCCGGUUCGUGACGGUCUUCUUCCUCUUUCCCGUCCUCCUUUCUUGUUUUUUACUUUAAAACAGCUGGGGAAAAUACGAAUCGUAAGAAGCACCCACAUCCUCAUCAGCUGGGAGGACUUGUUUCCCUGGAAGUUAUUCUUGGACUUUCUCCUUUUAUUUGGUGCAUCCAGCCCGGCUUAGAACACAGCGCACAUGGCUGUUGUUUUCUUUGUGACACUUUACCCUCAUUUUCAUUUUAUUUUAGAACUUUUUCUACUUGGUCAUUUUUCUGGAGUAGUCGUCAAGCCCUAAAAAAGCGAGUAAGGAAACUCUGGGACAGAUCAUUUCAGAAUCCUCAAGUCCGGCGUCAGUCUGGUGAUGGUUUCUGGUUGUCCUCAGGGUCUUGAACCAGUGCCUCCACAGAGACAAACCUGAUCAUUAACCCACUACGCCAAAGUGGAAACUCAGACUUAGGUAUUUGGAAUACAUUCUAUUGAAAAUGAAUGAAGCGAGCUUGUCUAUUCAAGGAAAACAACUGAUAAUAUUUGUGGCCAAAGAGAAAUUUGAAUUUUCAGGCUCAGAACUACAGUAACCCCAGCGUCAGCAGACCAUGAGGCAAACACUUCUUUUUCAACAGUCUGAGAAUGCCCAAGGGUCACUGAGCUUGGGUCUCUGCCAUUCACGGGAGGAGCAGAGUCAAAUGUAAAGGAGUGGGGUAUGCAGAUGGGCCAAGCUUGAGAUGCAGCUCACCCUGGGACCAGAGAGGUAGGUUCAGUCCCCCCUUCUCCCCAACUCAAAGGCCUGAACAGAAUCCUCAUGGAACGAUGGAUGGCCACCCCCAAAGAAAGGGACAUUGGGAGAGAACAGCACACGUUCACUCCCUGGUCACUCAUGGGAAGGGGCUCUACCAACAGGACUCCCAUCUGGGACCUGCCCUUGGAUCGCCCUUGACACCCCACCCUGCCUCCCAGCUGCUAGCAAGCAGGCACAGCUCAUUCUACGUGUUGCGAUGGCUUUUUGCACCAGCUGUCUCCUCCCUACGUAGGUCACAUCCCAGAGGCAUGGCUCUUCCCCCUCUGCUGGGUCACUUCAUGCAGCUGGAGAGGAGCCAUGACACGUUCCUCCUGUCUCUGUGGGUGAGGGGCCUGUCAGACCCUCCCCCUGCUUGUCCCUGCAAUGCCAUGGCCUCAGGAGGGAGGCAGAGUGUUGGCAUAUUUCUCCUGGACUGGGUGCUCCUAUCCUCCGUCCAAGGCUGCUUAGUAUUUACCGAGUAAAAGUCAUUGCCCUGGAGACGCAAGGUUUAUUGACACUGAGAGAUGAACGCUGUCUGGUCUGUGGAUCUGCAGAGAAAGCCUCCUGUGUUUCUGGGCAGAGUCUCAGGGAGAAGGUGUCUGCAGGGGCCCAGAGCUUGGCCAAGCGGGGUGGGUGGGUGUUCUGGAAAUCGUGGGUGGCUGAGGGUGGCCUGAGCACAGGAGGCAGGUGGGCGCUGUACUUGUGCUCUGAACAACUUGGGGUGUCUGGGGUGCAGGUUUGCCCCGAGUGCCUCGUCCUGGCUUCAGGGGCUGCCUUCCUCUAUUGUCCCUUUCAUGUGGCUCCUCCCUGGUCCCUCCACCCUCUUGUGUUGGAUUCAGCCCUUGGUCCUGGAGGGAGGGUCUAGGGACAGCCCAGUCCCAUACCUGGAGUCUCUGCUGUCAGGAUCAUUUUCGACCUGGGUGGUUGAGCCCUGCCUGGGUCCUCCCACCCUUUAGGGUGCCUUCCUUAAAGUUGUCUAGGUCCAUAUCCACUGCCUGGGUCUAGGCCGAUGGGGACGCCUUUGGUGGGGUUCUCCAAGUCUGAACAGGACCCAUGUGGGCCCUGGACCCUGGUUUUUCCCCUCAGGCACUGUCUGGCCCUGCCCCCAACAUGCAGAGUUGAUUACAAGGCUCCAGAGGCUCUAGGACUCAGGCUGAUGGUCAUUCUGUGGGUCCUGUGGCUGGGCCCUGGUUCCGGGAAGGUGGCCUGGUAAAUAAAUGCUUCCUAGUGGCCAGCAUGGUCUUCCUUUUGUGGGUUCAUGUGAGGUUGGGCUGCCAGAAUGGUGCUGACAUGCUGAUUUGGGGUGACUCAAAUAGUUUAUGUAGACAGAGGCCGCACAGAAGAUAUUUCCGCAAGGCCCUGAACGCCCUUGACUGCUGCAACUCGCUGCGGGGCACCAGUAAAUACCUAAGCCCCCCACCAUCGAUCCCUCUUUCCAGCACAACCUCUGGUCCGACUGUCAGGAGCUUGCCUAAUCACUAUUUCUCCACCCCCAACUUAUUUUUUGUGGCCAUCACCUCGUUUUUGUUUGUUUGUUUGUUUUUGUUUUUGUCUUUUUGUCUUUAUUUAGGGCUGCACCCGCGGCGUAUAGAGGUUCCCAGGCUAGGGGGUGUCUCAUUGGAGCUGUAGCCUCCGGCCUAUACCACAGCCACAGCAACGCCAGAUACGAGCCACGUCUGUGACCUACACCACAGCUCAUGGCAAUGCGAUCCUUAACUCACUAAUCAAGGCCAGAGAUGGAACCUGCAACCUCAUGGUUGCUAGUCAGAUUAGUUUCUGCGGAGCCACGACAGGAACUCCAUCACCUCGUUUUUGAUCAGAGAGUCCUGGUGGGUCCCAGCAUUCUUCACUCGCCUUGGCCACUCUCUGCCCCUCCCCGCUAUGUGCCUAGCACUGAGGGACUGAAGGGUCCAGGCCCUUGUCUGCUUGUGUCCCAUGGGGGUCUGCACCUGCUGCCUCCCUGGAGGCAGCUUCUUCUGAGUCUGGUCUGGGUGUCCCCUGUCACUACGACCAGCCUGCCUCAAACACUGGGUAUCUGUGAGGACAGGUUUGCUGCGUGCAGGGGCCACAGAGUGGAGACUUGACAUUGGUGACAGAUGCUUCCUCCCAGACAGCAGAUAAAGGUCGCUCCUAAAUUUCAGAAUAAAAGCAUCCACUUAUCUGGAAAAUGUCAAAAAGAAGAACGGUUGCCCUUUGCCGAGCUAAGCCCUGCAUGGUUUGGUGGGGAACCGAGGAGGGCGAGACGCCUGCUGGGGUGGCCCAGGGGAACCCAUUUGCUCAUUCAGGGAUGGAAGGACAGCUGGUGUCUCCUCCAUAGGCUGGUCCAGAGGCCUGGGAUCAUCCAGAUCUGGGUGUCAGGGAAGGUACCGUGUGGUAGUGAGAGGCAGUGUGUCUGCCAGAUCUGGGUAGAGGAAUUGGUCUGCUUGAUGUCACCUGCAGUGAUAAACUGUUAACUUGACAUCAAAGCCUGGGUGUUCCCUGGUUAGAAUGGCCAUCAUUAAAAAGUAUACAAAUAAUAAAUGCUGGAGAGGGUGUGGAGAAAAGGGAACCCUCCUACACUGCUGGUGGGAAUGUAAAUUGGUGUAGCCAGUAUGGAGAACAGUAUGAAGAUUCCUCAAAAAGCAAAAUAUAGAGUUACCAUAUGAUCCUGCAAUCCCAUUCCUUGGCAUACACCCAGAGAAAACCAUAAUUUGAAAAGAGACAUGCACCCCAUUGCUCAGAGCAGCACCAUUUACAAUAGUCAAGACACAGAAACAACCCAAAUGUCCAUUGACAGAUAAAUGUACAAAGAAGAUGUGAGAUAUACAUAUAUAUAUAUACACAUACACACUGGAGUACUACUCAGCCAUAAAAAGAAUGAAAUAAAGCCAUCUGUAGCAACAUGGAUGGAACUAGAGGUGAUCAUACUAAGAUACUAAGUGAAGUAAGUCAGAAAGAGAAAGACAAGUACCGUAUGAUUCCCUUAUAUGUGGAAUCUAAAAUAUGACACAGGAAUUGUCUUGUGGUGCAGUGGGUUAAGGAUCUGGCAUUGUUACUGCAGCAGCUUGGGUCACUGCUAAGGCAUGGGUUUGAUUCCUGGCCUGGGAAAUUCCCUAUGCUGCAGGGGUGGACAAAAAAAAAAAAAAAAAAAAAAAANAAAAAA